CAACCGACCCGGACCCAAAUCACAACAGCCAGGACGUGUCCCUCUUCCCAGGAAGAAAAAAAAAAAAAAAGAGCACGAGCUGCCCAGGUCGUCUCCCCCAGGAAAAGAAAAUAAGGCUGUAGUCGUCUUCAACCUCUGCCUAUGAACGGAAACGGCAGAAACUGGCCGCGUCGGUGCACCCUACUGCAUCCUCUCCUCUGCUCGGACCCCAGGUCCAUCUAGAACCUUCCUCUACCUCUUUCCCCUUCGUCUCCCCGCGUUAUUGCGCUUUUAUUCGAGAUGCAAUUGCCAUGGCGUUACAGGAAACAGCCACGGCCAUUAACAUCGACUCCCGUUGCUCCACGUUCUCCCUCUCUGUAUAAAUUCUACCGGAGCUUCCAAAUAGCAUACCACACUCCUCCACUGAUUCACGCCCCCAGGCUGCCCCUGUGGAGGGCGAAUUUCUUCGCCGGAGUUCCGACGGCCGCCGCGACGUUUCGUCGAAUUCUCCGGCCGGAGGUCACCCACGACGAGCUCCCGACGCCUCGACACUGCAGCCGUCCGUCACCGUCUCAGUUAGUUUCGACAAAGGAGCAUCACGCCGUCUUCAGCGUGAAGAGAGGAACGACGUAUGAUACUUUUCCCUUCUGCGGGUACACCCACAUCAUCGACAACAUCUCUGUCUGAGCCUACCGUCACCGUGGUCAGCUUCCCGGCUAUCUUUCAGUCAAGUCCGGCCGAUGAUGAGUGAGGACGACUAGGAUCAUGGGUCUAUACUCAACAAGCCCUGUGGCGUUGAUGAAGCCCAAGACGUACCUUUAUGUUUCCGCUGUAAUGUGAGCCAGCCACUAUGCUGUGCAAGUUGUAUAUGCAACUCUGGAUUCAUCGUUUGAGUAAUAAAAUGACGUAUGUUAUAUCUUGA